UAACGCGAAGAACCUUACCAGGUCUUGACAUCUUGCGCCAACCCUAGAGAUAGGGCGUUUCCUUCGGGAACGCAAUGACAGGUGGUGCAUGGUCGUCGUCAGCUCGUGUCGUGAGAUGUUGGGUUAAGUCCCGCAACGAGCGCAACCCUUGUUACUAGUUGCCAGCAUUAAGUUGGGCACUCUAGUGAGACUGCCGGUGACAAACCGGAGGAAGGUGGGGACGACGUCAGAUCAUCAUGCCCCUUAUGACCUGGGCUACACACGUGCUACAAUGGACGGUACAACGAGUCGCGAACUCGCGAGGGCAAGCAAAUCUCUUAAAACCGUUCUCAGUUCGGACUGCAGGCUGCAACUCGCCUGCACGAAGUCGGAAUCGCUAGUAAUCGCGGAUCAGCAUGCCGCGGUGAAUACGUUCCCGGGUCUUGUACACACCGAGA
rnacentral:rRNA from 1 species